rnacentral:rRNA from 1 species
AUUGAACGCUGGCGGCAGGCCUAACACAUGCGAGUCGAGCGGAUGAAGGGAGCUUGCUCCUGGAUUCAGCGGCGGACGGGUGAGUAAUGCCUAGGAAUCUGCCUGGUAGUGGGGGAUAACGUCCGGAAACGGGCGCUAAUACCGCAUACGUCCUGAGGGAGAAAGUGGGGGAUCUUCGGACCUCACGCUAUCAGAUGAGCCUAGGUCGGAUUAGCUAGUUGGUGGGGUAAAGGCCUACCAAGGCGACGAUCCGUAACUGGUCUGAGAGGAUGAUCAGUCACACUGGAACUGAGACACGGUCCAGACUCCUACGGGAGGCAGCAGUGGGGAAUAUUGGACAAUGGGCGAAAGCCUGAUCCAGCCAUGCCGCGUGUGUGAAGAAGGUCUUCGGAUUGUAAAGCACUUUAAGUUGGGAGGAAGGGCAGUAAGUUAGUACCUUGCUGUUUUGACGUUACCAACAGAAUAAGCACCGGCUAACUUCGUG